GAAGAGACUGUCCAGGAUGAUUUUGGGAGCUUCUGAUCUUUUGAGAUUACCUGAUAUUGCUUGUGUAGAUGAACGUAUUGACACCAGAUCAUCUAAAGGAAAGGCAAGACAAGAGCUAACUGUGAGGAGAAUUGAAGAAAUGUGUUGUGAAAAAAAGAGCACUUAAAAAAAGUUAUUAUUAUGUUAGAAUGGAAUGGAAUGGAAUGGAGGUAAGGGACUAUAGCUUGCCAUAAAUGAGUAAU
rnacentral:lncRNA from 1 species